CGGAGUAAUACAUCGGAACGUGUCUUCUAGUGGGGGAUAACUGCCCGAAAGGGCAGCUAAUACCGCAUGAGACCUGAGGGUGAAAGCGGGGGAGUCGCAAGACCUCGCGCUGGAAGAGCGGCCGAUGUCCGAUUAGCUAGUUGGUGAGGUAAAGGCUCACCAAGGCGACGAUCGGUAGCUGGUCUGAGAGGACGACCAGCCACACUGGGACUGAGACACGGCCCAG
rnacentral:rRNA from 1 species